rnacentral:misc_RNA from 1 species
UAGCCAUCAAGCUGUGCUUGGUGUUGGGCGUUUGUCCUGCCGUCGUGCGUGGACUCGCCCCAAAACAAUCGGCGGCCCGCGUUUGGCUUGUAGCACAGCAGAAUGGUUGCUGCAAACGCAAAGAGCGUGCCUGCCGCAAAUGCCUCCUUUGG